AUUGAACGCUGGCGGCAGGCCUAACACAUGCAAGUAGAACGAGUGGCGGACGGGUGAGUAAUAUCUUGGAACGUGCCUAGUGGCGGGGGAUAACUACUGGAAAUGGUAGCUAAUACCGCAUACCAUCGGAUGUGCCUAGAUGGGAUUAGCUAGUAGGUGGGGUAAAGGCGCACCUAGGCGACGAUCCCUAGCUGGUGUGAGAGGAUGACCAGCCACACUGGAACUGAGACACGGUCCAGACUCCUACGGGAGGCAGCAGUGGGGAAUAUUGCACAAUGGGCGCAAGCCUGAUGCAGCCAUUCCGCGUGUAUGAUGAAGGCCUUCGGGUUGUAAAGUACUUUCAGCGGGGAGGCGUUACCCGCAGAAGAAGCACCGGCUAACUCCGUGCCAGCAGCCGCGGUAAUUC
rnacentral:rRNA from 1 species